CAGCCGCCGCGGGAAUACGAAGGGUGCAAGCGUUAAUCGGAAUUAUUGGGCGUAAAGCGCGCGUAGGUGGUUCAGUAAGUUGGAAGUGAAAUCCCCGGGCUCAACCUGGGAACUGCUUUCAAAACUGCCGAGCUAGAGUACGGUAGAGGGUGGUGGAAUUUCCUGUGUAGCGGUGAAAUGCGUAGAUAUAGGAAGGAACACCAGUGGCGAAGGCGACCACCUGGACUGAUACUGACACUGAGGUGCGAAAGCGUGGGGAGCAAACAGGAUUAGAUACCCGUGUAGUCCCUGUCUCUUAUAA
rnacentral:rRNA from 1 species